UAGAAGUAACACCUGAAUCCGGAGUUCAGACAAGUAAUACUACUCGUAAAUCCGAGAAUUUAAAUAAGAGGGCCGGUGUGAUACUUAAUUGUAUGGUACUACCAAAAAUAAAUUAUAUAGAUCAUGCAGGCCGAUAAACUCCCACCAAAUCCCCGUGAAUCGGCAGGACUAUUGUCCUCGCUUAUGUUUUGCUUUGCACUGCCCAUUCUCUUCAAGGGCCGCAAGAAGACCCUUCAACCCACAGAUCUGUAUCAGGCCCUCAAGGGACACCGAGCGGAUAGUUUGGGCGACAGAUUCUUCCAGACAUGGCAGGCCGAAGUGGCAGCAUGUCGUCGGAAGCACAACCAGCAGCCGAGCAUCAUCAAGGUGAUACUUCGUGUAUUCGGCUGGCAACUGCUGGGCUCCGGCCUGAUCCUUGGAGUCCUGGAACUGGGCACCAGGGCCACUGCACCUUUGUUGCUAGGCGCCUUGAUAUCAGAGUUUACGGCAUAUGGAAACGGCGAUGGACUGAGCGCACAGCUUUAUGGAGCUGGCCUGAUACUUACUACCGUGGUCAGUGUCCUCCUGUUCCAUCCUUAUAUGAUGGGUAUGAUGCACCUGGCCAUGAAGAUGAGGGUAGCCGUGGGCUGUGCCAUCUAUCGCAAGGCGCUGCGCCUAAGUAGCACUGCUAUGGGAAACACCACAACGGGGCAGGUGGUCAAUCUGAUAUCCAACGAUUUGGGGCGCUUCGAUCGGGCCCUGAUACACUUCCACUUUCUGUGGCUGGGACCGCUGGAGCUGCUGGUUGCCUCCUAUUUCCUGUAUCAGCAGAUUGGCCUGGCCUCGCUCUACGGCAUUGUCAUACUGCUGCUCUAUCUGCCGGUGCAGACCUACUUGAGCAGGCUGACCUCCGUGUUGCGUCUGCAGACCGCUCUGCGAACGGACCAACGGGUGCGAAUGAUGAACGAGAUCAUAUCCGGCAUACAGGUGAUCAAGAUGUACACCUGGGAGCGGCCCUUUGGCAAGGCGAUCGAGCGCCUGCGGCGCAGCGAGAUGAGCUCCAUUCGCAAGGUCAACUACAUUCGGGGCACUCUGCUCUCUUUUGAGAUUACUCUCGGCAGGAUUGCCAUCUUUGUGAGCCUCUUAGGCUACGUCCUGAUGGGCGGGGAGCUCACGGCGGAGAAGGCCUUUGUGGUUACGGCGUUCUACAACAUCCUGAGGCGCACUGUCAGCAAGUUCUUUCCCAGCGGCAUGUCCCAGUUUGCCGAAAUGUUGGUCACAUUGCGCCGGAUACGGGCAUUCCUGAUGCGCGACGAAUCGGAUGUCCUUCAGGGCGAUGGCGAUGGUGAUCCCAAAGAGAAGCCGACCGAUGUUGUGGUCGAAAUUGAGGAUUUGACAGCACGCUGGUGCCGAGAGCAAAAUGAACCGGUCCUGGACAGGAUCAGCAUGAGCCUGAAGCGCCCGCAAUUGGUGGCCGUCAUUGGGCCCGUGGGCUCUGGGAAAUCGAGCCUCAUCCAGGCGAUACUCGGCGAGCUGCCACCUGAGUCUGGGCGCUUAAAGCUCCAGGGAAGAGUGUCCUAUGCCUCGCAGGAGCCCUGGCUCUUCAACGCCUCCCUGCGGGACAAUAUCCUGUUCGGCCUGCCCAUGGACAAGCAUCGAUACCGCAGUGUGGUCCAGAAGUGUGCCUUGGAACGCGACUUUGAGCUGCUCCAGGGGGAUCGGACAAUGGCGGGUGAGCGUGGCGCAUCGCUCUCCGGCGGCCAGCGGGCGAGGAUCAGUCUGGCCAGAGCCGUGUACCGCAGGGCGGAUAUCUACCUGUUGGACGAUCCCCUCAGCGCCGUGGACACGCACGUGGGUCGUCAUCUCUUCGAGGAGUGCAUGCGGGGCUUUCUCAAGCAUCAAUUGGUCAUACUGGUGACCCAUCAGCUGCAGUUCCUGGAACAGGCGGAUCUCAUAGUGAUUAUGAACAAGGGCAGGGUCACAGACAUCGGCAGCUAUGAGAAGAUGCUAAAGAGUGGUCAGGACUUUGCCCAGCUGCUGGCCAAAAGCACUCGCCAUGAGACUGUAGACCACGAUGGAGACGGGGAUGGGGCAGCUGCUGGCGAUGGCAAGGUAUAUUCCCGCCAAAGCAGCCGCCAGAGCAGGACGAGUGUCAGCUCUGCAGAAUCCGGAGAAGAGGAGGUUGUUGUCACCCCCGUGCAGGAGUCACGUUCCAGUGGCAAUAUUGGCAUGGAUAUCUACAGGAAGUACUUUGCCGCUGGCUCUGGUUGGAUCAUGUUCGUCCUGGUCGUGUUCUUUUGCCUGGGCACACAGCUGCUGGCCUCUGGUGGCGAUUACUUCCUGUCCUACUGGGUUAAGAACAACAAUCAAUCUUCUGCGGUGGACAUUUACUACUUCAGUGCCAUAAAUGUGGCCCUCGUGAUUUUUGCGCUGCUCCGAACGAUUCUGUUCUUCAGCAUGGCCAUGCACUCGUCCACUGAGCUGCACAACACUAUGUUCCAGGGCGUAUCCCGCACGGCGCUAUAUUUCUUCCACUCAAAUCCGUCGGGACGCAUACUGAACCGAUUCGCUAUGGACCUGGGCCAGGUGGACGAGGUGCUGCCCGCCGUCAUGCUGGACUGCAUACAGAUCUUCCUCACCAUAGCCGGAAUAAUCUGUGUGCUGUGCAUCACCAAUCCCUGGUAUCUGUUGAACACGUCCGUCAUGUUCGUGGCCUCCCACUUCCUAAGGCGGUUCUACCUGAGUACUUCGCGGAAUGUGAAGCGACUGGAAGCGGUGGCCAGAUCGCCCAUGUACUCGCACUUCAGUGCCACCCUGAGUGGUCUGCCCACGAUACGCGCCCUGGGUGCCCAGAGACUGUUAAUUGGGGAGUACGACAACUAUCAGGAUCUGCACAGUUCUGGCUACUAUACGUUCCUGUCCACCAGUCGGGCAUUCGGCUACUAUUUGGAUCUCUUCUGCGUGGCCUAUGUGAUUUCCGUGACGCUUACGAGCUACUUCUAUCCACCACUCGGCAAUCCGGGACAGAUUGGAUUGGCCAUUACGCAGGCCAUGUCCAUGACGGGCACCGUUCAGUGGGGCAUGCGGCAGUCGGCAGAGCUGGAGAACUCCAUGACGUCCGUGGAGCGGGUUGUGGAGUACCGAAACCUACAGGCGGAGGGAGAGUUCGAGUCUCCUGCUGACAAAAAGCCAGCCGAUAGUUGGCCCAAAGAUGGACAAAUUGUGGCUGAUGACUUGAGUCUGAGAUACAAUCCCGAUCCCAAAACUGAUCGGGUACUGAACUCUCUGAGUUUUGUGAUCCAGCCGCGCGAGAAGAUCGGCAUAGUGGGACGCACGGGUGCGGGGAAAUCUACGCUGAUUAAUGCACUGUUCCGACUGUCCUACACCGAUGGCAGCAUGCUGAUUGAUGGGAGGGAUACAGCAGGGAUUGGUCUCAACGAUUUACGCAGCAGGAUCUCGAUUAUUCCACAGGAACCGGUGCUUUUUUCCGGCACCCUUCGCUACAAUCUGGAUCCAUUCGAGCAGUAUACGGACGACAAGCUCUGGCAGGCCCUAGAGGAGGUUCAUUUGAAGGUGGAAGUCUCGGAGCUGCCCACCGGCUUGCAGAGCCUCGUCUCCGAGGGUGGGGCCAACUAUAGUGUUGGUCAGCGCCAGUUGGUCUGCCUGGCACGUGCUAUUCUACGGGAAAACCGCAUCCUAGUCAUGGAUGAGGCCACGGCGAAUGUGGAUCCCCAAACCGAUGCCCUCAUCCAGUCCACCAUUCGGAGAAAGUUCAGAGACUGCACUGUCUUAACCAUAGCCCAUCGUCUGAAUACCAUCAUUGAUUCGGAUAGGGUUAUGGUAUUGGAUGCCGGCAAUCUGGUGGAGUUUGGAACUCCACACGAACUUCUAGUACAAUCCAAAACGAAAAUCUUCUACGGCAUGGUUAUGGAGACGGGCAGGACGAGUUUCGACUAUCUUCUGAAGAUAGCACAGUCAGUCCACGAGAGCAAAUCGCGCAGCAGAAUAGAAUGAAUCCUUCCAUCAAUAUGAUUUUUCCUCUUCAACAGCUGUUUAUUAAGUGCUGCAGCCAGAGCCUUUCUGCUCAACCUUUCUUGAAGUGCACCCAUUACUGCGAUCGUCUUUCCUUCAGCACAAUGCUUUACCUCAUCGACUCUGACAGGCUCUAUUGGCCGAGACCCUCUCUUGCCACAAACUGCUAUGCCGCGAUCUCCACCUCUUAUACCGCCAGCAGGUGGCCCCUUUCGGGUGCCAAAAGUACCACUUGCGUGACGGGUGACCGCCCGCAUUCUUUUAUAAGGGACUUCACCUCUGGGUCCGGCCACUCAUGGCCUUUAUCUCCGUCUCUCCAGUCCGCUCGCCGUCGGUACCUCUUCAGUAGCUGAUUCCGCCGUAGCUCCUAGUCUUCUCGGGAGUUCAAAGGUAUUGCUCUUAGCUGGACUGGGGCAGGCAUCAUGCCGCUGCACGGUCGCUGAGACGACAAUGUGAUGUCUCGUCCGUUGCAGCAGGGACCAGUGAUUGACGGCGGAAAUAUUGGUUCAGCCGAAUCAAACACUAGGAUUCAGCUUCAAUGCGCAGUACCUAUGUACCCUACGCUUUGCCACAAGACGAGUCGUAUCCGAUGUCCCAACGUCAGACGGAGCCCUUGCAAGAGCCCGAUCCUAUUAACCGCUAUUAUCUUCCGACCUGGCCAUCGACAACUAUCUGAAGGACUUUGGCUAUGGCAAACAAGGGAGUGGAUACGCGGACUACUAGACUCUGGAUAGAUCUCGUUGUUAUUAGGUUUAAGGAUAUAUAAGAUAGUACAGAUACAUUUUGGUAGUAGAUAUAAAUGUAAUCAACUUG